rnacentral:sRNA from 1 species
AAAAGUCUGAUGUCGUCUAGCACGGAAU